GCGCCGAUAGUUUAAUUGGCAAAACAAUACUCUCCAAAAGUAUAGUUCUUUGAUCGUUGCAAAGUCGGCGUGCCA
rnacentral:tRNA from 1 species